rfam:Citrus clementina cultivar Clemenules unplaced genomic scaffold scaffold_1, whole genome shotgun sequence.
AGAGUUGGACGACGCAGCCAAGGAUGACUUGCCGGAGCUGUUUGUACAUUUUCAAUUUCCCGGCAAGUUGCCCUUGGCUACAUUGGCCUCUCU